UCCUCCCUGGCCGAAAGGUCCGGGUAACCCGCUGAACCUCCUUCGUGCUAGGGAUUGGGGCUUGCAAUUGUUCCCCAUGAACGAGGAAUUCCCAGUAAGMGCGAGUCAUAAGCUCGCGUUGAUUACGUCCCUGCCCUUUGUACACACCGCCCGUCGCUACUACCGAUUGAAUGAUUUAGUGAGGUCUUCGGAYCGGUGGGCGAGGGGGUUCUCCUCCUCGAUUCCACCGGGAAGAUGCCCAAACUUGAUCAUUUAGAGGAAGUAAAAGUCGUAACAAGGU
rnacentral:rRNA from 1 species